UACGUAGGGUGCGAGCGUUAAUCGGAAUUACUGGGCGUAAAGCGUGCGCAGGCGGUUUUGUAAGCCAGAUGUGAAAUCCCCGGGCUCAACCUGGGAAUGGCAUUUGGGACUGCAAGGCUGGAGUGCGGCAGAGGAGACUGGAAUUCCUGGUGUAGCAGUGAAAUGCGUAGAUAUCGGGAGGAACCCCAGAGGCGAAGGCGGCGCCCUAGCUCGGUUCUGACGCUCAGACACGAAAGCAUGGGGAGCGAACGGG
rnacentral:rRNA from 1 species